GGGAAUAUUGCGCAAUGGAGGAAACUCUGACGCAGUGACGCCGCGUAUAGGAAGAAGGUUUUCGGAUUGUAAACUAUUGUCGUGAGGGAAGAAAUUGACAGUACCUGAAGAAGAAGCCCCGGCUAACUACGUGCCAGGAGCCGCGGUAAUACGUAGGGGGCAAGCGUUAUCCGGAUUUACUGGGUGUAAAGGGAGCGUAGACGGCGGGGCAAGUCUGGAGUGAAAGGCCGGGGCCCAACCCCGGGACCGCUCUGGAAACUGCCCGGCUGGAGUGCGGGAGAGGUAAGCGGAAUUCCUAGUGUAGCGGUGAAAUGCGUAGAUAUUAGGAGGAACACCAGCGGCGAAGGCGGCUUACUGGACCGUGACUGACGUUGAGGCUCGAAAGCGUGGGGAGCAAACAGG
rnacentral:rRNA from 1 species